UACAGAGGGUGCGAGCGUUAAUCGGAAUUACUGGGCGUAAAGGGUGCGUAGGUGGUUAUGUAAGUUAGGUGUGAAAUUCCUGGGCUUAACCUGGGGACUGCGCCUGAUACUGUGUAGCUAGAGUCCUGUAGAGGAAAGUGGAAUUUCCGGUGUAGCGGUGAAAUGCGUAGAUAUCGGAAGGAACAUCAGUGGCGAAGGCGACUUUCUGGAUAGAGACUGACACUGAGGCACGAAAGCGUGGGGAGCAAACAGG
rnacentral:rRNA from 1 species